GGCUGAUUAGCUCAGUCGGUUAGAGCGUGGUGCUGAUAACACCAAGGUCGCGGAUACUAUCCCUGUUUGGUCG
rnacentral:tRNA from 1 species